rnacentral:rRNA from 1 species
GACGAACGCUGGCGGCGUGCUUAACACAUGCAAGUCGAACGAUGACGCCCGAGCUUGCUCGGUCUGAUUAGCGGCGAACGGGUGAGUAACACGUGAGCAACCUGCCCUUCACUCUGGGAUAACCUCGGGAAAUCGGGGCUAAUACCGGAUAUGAGCUCCUGUCGCAUGGCGGGCGUUGGAAAGUUUUUCCGUGCUGGAUUGGCUCGCGGGCUAUCGGUUUGUUUGUUGGGUAGUGGCUCACCCAGGCGAUGGCAGGUAGCCGGCCUGGGAGGGGGGCCGGCCACCCUGGGACUAAGGGACGGCGCAGACUCGUACGGGAGGCAGCAGGGGGAAGGAUUGCACAACGGGAGCAAGCCGGAGGAAGCGACGCUGCGGGAGGGAUGACCGCCUGCGGGUAGUAAACCUCAGUCGGCAAGGAAGAAGCGGAAGUGACGGUACCUGCAGAAGAAGCACCGGCUAACUACGUG